GUCAAGAUAUUAGUCAAUGCUCGCAAGAGUGAACUAGCUAACUGAAAUCUUAAUUAAGUAUUAAGAUAAGGUAAGAGAAAAUAAUGAUAUUAUCUUACUACUAGUGUCGUCUAAAUUUGGUGCCAGAAGACUCGGUAAGACCUUAGACGCAAACGUUAAUCCGUCUUAAUCAGGCGUAAAGGGUGUGUAGGCGGCUUUAAAUAUAAUUACAAUUGUAUUUUAUAUAAUAUAAAAAAUUAUAUUCUAAUUAAAGCUAGAAUCUAACAGAGGAUAAGCUAAACAACAUAAUUAAUUGGGACUGACAACUUAUAAUAAUGUGGAGUACUAAAGGUUAAAGCUAUUUAUCUACUUAAGAUUGACGCUCAGAAACGAAGGGGAGAAUAAGAAACUUAGAUUAGAUACCUAAUUAUCUCUCUCAGUCAACGAUGAAUGGUAGUUAUUAAAAUUUUAUGUACAUAUAUAUAUUAGUAACGAGGUUAACAUGAUGCCAUUCCGCCUUGUUAGUAAGACUGCAAAGUUGAAAACAAAAAAAUUAGUCGGUCUUGAAGCAAACGAAGUGAAGCAUGUUAUUAAUCGAUAA
rnacentral:rRNA from 1 species